UUUUUUUUUUUUUUUUUUUUUAAUACAUAAACAAUCUGUGAGGUACUUGGUUUCUUUUCACAAAUUGCACUUGACAGUAAAUGAUAACAGUUUCACCAGAAAUGUCCCACAUACCACAAAGACUAUGACCUCGUCUGCUAUCAAUAACAUAAAGUAAUAUCUGAGACACUCCAGGGACUACUAAAAGAGGAAACAGCAUCUACAGUAAUAAGUUCUUAAACCAGAAAAAUCUAAAAUGGUAACAUCAUUAAAUCCACUGCUGUGAGUAAUGGCAGACAUGGGUACAAGUCUCAGACCUAACCUUAAAUGUAAUGUAUUACUUCUGCUCCUACCAUUCCCUAGUGCGUAAUAUUGUUCUCUGCUGGAUGGAACAUUUGAGCUACCAAAAAGUUUGUGUUUGUUACUGAUGACAUACAGUCUGUGACAGCAAUAGACAAAAAGGGAAAUCAAGUUCUAUCUGCUCCUGAGAAAUUUUCCCAGGAGGCUGCAAAAAGGGAUUACUUGUUCUGAGGGAAAAAUAUGAGAAUUUAUUUACCUAUUUAGAAAAUUGUGCUGGAGAUUGGGCCUAGUGAAGUUUUUUGAGUAUGCUGUAAAAAAAAAAAAAAUCGGUUGUUUUUAAGAUUCCAGAUGACAGCUGUAAGUUCAGAGAGCAAAAAUUGAUGAGAAUAUUUGUUUGGGGUAGUGAAAAAUUACCUUUUAAUCAAAAUUAAUAUUUUUGAUCAGCUUGAAUUUUUUCAAUCACAACCACGGAGUCUAAAGGUUAAUGUAUUUACCUUCGCCUCUAAUCUUUUAUGCAUUUUUGCUUUUGCAACAUUACUAGUAAAAAAGAUAACAGAAAGAAAAGUGGAAAAGAAAAAAAAAAAACAGAGAGAAUUGAAAAUAAAUAAACAAGCCUUCCAGGGAAGCAUGAAAAUUCAUCAGCUGUUAUAAGUGAGUUUUAAGAAAAAAAUACAUUGCUUGUGAAAAAAAAAUGCUUUUUACUGCUAUUUUUAACACUUCUAGAAAUUUCUGGAAUAGUAUUUCAACCAUAUUAUAUUCUUGUCAACUGAAGCACUGUCACUAAAUGCGGUAAACAUUUACCUUGCAGGUACUUAGAGAAUAGAAAAGUAACGCAGACUAAUGUAGUCAGUAUGGUUUUACAAAAAUAGUUGCUCCUCCCCUACACAUUGCAAUGAAUCUCAUAUGCGUGAAAUUUCCUUAUACAAACACUUGUUAAAGAAAUAAAGCUUUGAGAUCUGUUAAUUAGAUUGGCACUAUCCACGGUUUUUUGAAUAGAAGCAGUAUUAUCCUAUCUUCUAAAUACUGUUCCCAGUGAAUAGAUUUAGCUGGCCUGUAUACAUACAGAGUGAGAAGGUGAAAUACUGAUACCAAACAGUUGUAAUCAAGUUUAAACAGCAUUUCUGGAGAUAUGUAAGUGUGAAGAAUUUCAUUAUAUUUUCAUCUGAUUCCAAUUUCCUGCUCUGAUCUGCUGUUUCCCAGAGGCUAUGUGACCCCAUGUUUAUUGUUCUGUUUCUUUUCUGAUGACUAAACGUUGUUAUUAUUAUUAUUAUUAUUAUUAUUAUUAUUAUUAUUAUUGCAAACUUUAGUGGAAUAAAAGGCCUUUUGGUAUGGAUCCUCCACAUCCUUUAGAAAUACUGGGAUCAUGGGAUGAUGUGAAGUCUCACUCUAGUUAUAGUAAGAAAUCAUCCAGUCUAGAAUCCAGUGAGAAUAACUCCAGUGAAAGCCAAUACAAUUCCAUUGACAUGUGUCAUUGUGACAAAUCAGUGUAUUCUCCACUGGUCUUCAUGAGAAGUGAACUCUAUCUAUUUAGAAAAUAUACUGUGAAAACACAGAUGAGCUAGAAAUGUACAGAAAUAUUUAUAACCAAAAAUACAGACAGAAUAUUGAGCAGCUUCGUGUAAUCAGAAAGAAACCCACAGAAAACGGACUAGCUCUCAUCAAAUCAGUAAUGAAGCAUACUCAAAUGUGGAAUUAUAUUAAUGACCAUGUGCCAGACAGACACCUUUGUCUGUUUUGGAUGUGUGAAAGUGACACAGAAAGGGAGCUCAUGCAUGGGGAAAAAAAAUGUCAUUCUCCUUGCAGAGCUCAGAAAUCACAGUGCUACCUGCCUCACUGUGGUAUACAAUCUACAAAAUGUUUGUCACUACUGCCACAACCCACUCAGUAGGCUUAUCCAAGAACAGAUCAGGAACAAUGGCACUUCAGUCAGCAAGAUCUGUUCUUGUUUCAACUAUGUAUAAUUUCUGUCUAAGAACAGCAGAAAAAAUCAUGGAACAGAUUUCCAUACAUUACACUUCUGCAUUUGUAAUGGUGCUGUCAAGAGUUUGGAAGUGAUGUAGUUCUUUUUACAUUUCUUUCAUUGAGACUGAAGCAUGACAUUAACUGAAGGACAACAGACAGGUGGCAGUGUCAUGCUUUCACUGAAGGGACUCCUUAAAAUACACAUAAAUAAGAAAAGGGGGCUUAGUGGAACAAAAAUACAUAGUUAUGUGACAGUGAAGUGCACUUAAUGCAGAAAGUCUCUAAGAAGUUUCUUAGAAGUAGAGAACAGCACAUCUAUAUAACUUGAACAUAAUCCGACAGUAAAAUUCUGCAUUAGAUUAAAAAAUAGUAUAACGUAAUCUAAGAUAUUUUCAGCAACCUGGUUCUUGACAGUCAACUGUGAUUAAAUAGAUGUUAGGGAUCAAUGUCUUUGACAAAUAACUCUGGCAACUGAUUAUUAUUUUCCUGAAAAUAUUAUUUUUUUCAAAACAAGGCCAGUGCAGGAAGAUAUUGAAAAUGAAUUAAAAAAAUGAAUGGUCAUUUUACAAAGUCUGUUAUAAAAUUAAUAGUACACAGUUAAGUAAAGGUUGUAACACUACACAUGCUAUGUGUAACAUAAGCACCUUGAUUCAGUUUAUGUUAAGUUUUACAGAAUAAAGACAAAAUUAAUGUCCACCCCAAGUCCUAGACCAUAAGCUGCAGCCAUGAACAGCAUUUGAGUACUUUGAAACAUGGAAUGAAUAAGAUUUGUGGGGUAAAAUGUAGCCUAAUAAAACAGAAGAACGUUAGGUGCUUUUUAUUUACUAUAUGCUACUACCAGUGUAUUUGUUAAUAGCAUUAAGAAUUUCUCAUCAACUCAAUUAAUACUUGUUUUUAAAAAGUGAUAUUAGGAAAAAAUAAUCAUUAUUUUAUGUAGAUUACACUGAAAGUAAUGCCUCCUAUUUAUUUCAAUGACAAGUACAAUAGAAACAAAGCUCAAAAUAACACUAUUUUAUAGAGUAAAUCCUCAGCUACAAAUGUUAUUUUUCAUCACAGUUACCACCGUUAGCUAUGCAUUUUCACCAGCAACAAAUAAGAGUCUGCAUGCUGUGCUCAUAAAAAUCGGCACCAGCAGAGGUGACCCACUGUCAGUGUCACCACUACUGAAACAUACCACCCAUGGCCUCUAUGUACUCAGAUCCACUGUUUGGUCUUCAUAAAAGUUCAGCAAGUAUCAAUAAAUGUCAGUGGUUGCCAUUGUUUCUGCAUGGAGGAUUUCAAUUCCACACCUUUUCUUCAUCUGCACUUCUGUGUCAGAAACCAUUUUGUCAGACUUUCCUUCUGCUUCAGCAAGAUGUAAUAGAAUAAUGGAGGAAAGGUUCAGCCACUACUACAAAGAUGGUAUCAUCUUUGACACUGUGGGCCAACAUAAUAAAAUAGGAGACAUUACUUUUGGAGAAGUCCUCUUAUUUUCCAUAGGUGUUUACAAUGAUAUGCAUGCAUGUAUACACAUAUUAUCUGUAUUCCACUUUUUUUUUUUUUUUACUUGUAGUUUCCUGCAUGUAUAAAUGAUUAAAGAUCAACUUUUACCCAUAGAGUGCAUAGACUGCUUCAUCAGCACCUUGAGGAAAAGAACAUUAAUAAGGUGCAGAAGUGAGAUUAUAUAUGUUUGAGAAUUUUUAUUCUACUGUAAAUGCUGUAAAGGGAAAUGUCAUUAUAGGUCCUAUUAACAUGAAAGAUUUUGUAUGAAUGCCAGAAAGCAAGAUUUGGCAAGAAUUCUCCUUCUGUAUUUGAACUAUGUGCUCUCUUCUCAUGAAUCCUUGUGAUUUAACAAUCAAAUAUAUUUUGUACUUUCUCAUAGUGUCAUAUAAGAACCUUACAAAAGGCAUAAUUUCAAUUCAUAAGGAAAACAUUAAAAAUAUUUACUUU
ensembl:lncRNA